UCCGAGCCUGGUCUCUCCAGAGCCCCUGGUGCUGAGACGACGUCCAAGGGAAGCUAGCACCCUUCUGCCAGGAGGAGAGAUGCGAGAGGACGACGGUGAUGGUGUCACGGCGGAGUACGACGACGACGAUGACGUCAUGGCAGAGUAUGACGACGAUGCUGUCACGGUGGACACGCCCGAGGAUUUCGACAUCUAUGCGUGUGCACCGUGGGGAGCUGGACGCACACCUGGGGCUAUUGGGGCCAUACAUACGGGCGGAAGUGGAGGACAACAUCGUGGUGACCUUCCGGAACCAGGCCUCCCGCCCCUACUCCUUCUACUCCAG
rnacentral:lncRNA from 1 species